CCUACGGGAGGCAGCAGUGGGGAAUAUUGCGCAAUGGGCGAAAGCCUGACGCAGCGACGCCGCGUGAGGGAUGAAGGUCUUCGGAUCGUAAACCUCUGUCAGCAGGGAAGAACGGUCACUGUGCUAAUCAGCAGUGAAUUGACGGUACCUGCAAAGGAAGCACCGGCUAACUCCGUGCCAGCAGCCGCGGUAAUACGGAGGGUGCGAGCGUUAAUCGGAAUGACUGGGCGUAAAGCGCUCGUAGGCGGUAUGGCAAGUCAAGGGUGAAAUCCCCGGGCUCAACGUGGGAACGGCCUUUGAAACUGGGAGACGAGAGUGUGUGAGAGGAAAGUGGAAUUCCAGGGGUAGGAGUGAAAUGCGUAGAGAUCGGGAGGAACAUCAGUGGCGAAGGCGAGUAUCUGGCACAUAACUGACGCUGAGGAGCGAAAGCGUGGGUAGCAAACAGGAUUAGAUACCCGGGUAGUC
rnacentral:rRNA from 1 species